rnacentral:misc_RNA from 1 species
UUUCCGUAGGUGAACCUGCGGAAGGAUCAUUACCGAGUUCCUGCCCUGAUGGGUAGAUCUCCCACCCUUGCAUAAUUUACCAUUGUUGCCUUGGCAUGGCCGUCUCCUCUGGAGCCGCCGGCUUUUGCUGGUGAGCGCCUGCCAAAGGACCUUAUAAUUCGCAUCAUUGGGUAUCGUCUGAGUAUCAUCAAAUUAUUAAAACUUUCAACAACGGAUCUCUUGGUUCUGGCAUCGAUGAAGAACGCAGC